rnacentral:rRNA from 1 species
UACGGGGGGGGCAAGCGUUGUUCGGAAUUACUGGGCGUAAAGGGCUCGUAGGUGGCCAACUAAGUCAGACGUGAAAUCCCUCGGCUUAACCGGGGAACUGCGUCUGAUACUGGAUGGCUUGAGUUUGGGAGAGGGACGCGGAAUUCCAGGUGUAGCGGUGAAAUGCGUAGAUAUCUGGAGGAACACCGGUGGCGAAGGCGGCGACCUGGGUAGAUACUGACGCUGAGGUGCGAAAGCGUGGGGAGCAAACAGG